UGCCCUAGCUAUUGCUAACCGUUGUUUCUGACCUCCUGACAUCUGAAUCCCACUCUCGCCGACCUAAAAACCGGCAAUCCUUAAGGUAAACAACAAUUUAAAUUACAAAAUGUAUUGUGAUUUUGUUCAGAAUUAUACCUCAGUUUCAUAACCUAGUGGGAGACCACAGAUGAAAUUGUGAAUGCAAGCUUCUUUAGCAGCUUCUUCAAUCUCCGACAUUGAAGAAUUAGGGUUUCCGAAUCGUAUGUUUUCUCGAAUGGUGCCAGCAAACAAAGCAGGCUCUUGACCCACCAAAGCAGUUUGAAGACGC
rnacentral:lncRNA from 1 species